UACAGAGGUCUCAAGCGUUGUUCGGAUUCAUUGGGCGUAAAGGUUGCGUAGGCGGCGCGGUAAGUCUGGUGUGAAAUCUCGGAGCUUAACUCCGAAACUGCAUUCGAUACUGCCGUGCUUGAGGACUGGAGAGGAGACUGGAAUUUACGGUGUAGCGGUGAAAUGCGUAGAUAUCGUAAGGAAGACCAGUGGCGAAGGCGGGUCUCUGGACAGUUCCUGACGCUGAGGCACGAAGGUCAGGGGAGCAAACGGG
rnacentral:rRNA from 1 species